GCUGGGUAUUGCAGAGCAAGGAAGGGUGUGAAUGGCCUUGAGAAAGCCCUUCGCAAUCCAGGGCCCUACAGGCCUGCAGGGGAGAGACCCAGCAGAGAAUAGGAAUCUGAUGGGUGAGACCAUUUUCCUUAAGCAAGGCUGGCAGGACUGUGUGCGUGCGUGCGUGUGUGUGUGUGUGUGUGUGUGUGUGUGUGUGUGUGUGUAACAUGCUAAUCAAUACUAUCUUUUGAAGAGAGGAAAGGAGGUUGGUUCCUGACAGAGUUGUGAGGAGGAUGGAGAGGAGAAGACCCUGGCGCAGACCCCCACCUGGCCCCACCUCCUGCGAGGUGUCAGGGCAACAUCAGUGGAAUGAGAACCCUGCUGAGCACAUGGGGCAGCUGUUUCCGUGGGACCUGCUGUCCUGACCUGGGAGUGCCAUGCUGGGGACAUGCUGAGGACCACAGGUGAUUUGAUGAAGGAGGUGCAGGAGUGGCCUCCAGGGGCACAGCCCACCUCCACUGACCCCCUGGCUCCCUGAGGCAGAGACACGGGUGCAGAGCUGGCCUAUCACAUGCUCUUUCCUGGUACCCUGAGUUUUUGGGUGAAUGAAGAAAAGGAGGGAGGAGAGAGAGGGUGGUGACUCCUCCAGGGGACAUGCCCCAGGAUCUGAGCUUAGGGUGGAGCUGCUACGCCCUGGCCACCAUGGCUUCUGGUUUUCCAACCUGGUCUCCCCACCCUGUGAAGAGCCCACUAUCACACAUUGUCCUGGCGGCUGAGGACCUUGGCUGUACCUCAGCCCGUUUGUUGGCCAGUGAGAAUGUUUCUGGACACCCUACACUCCUUUUCUGGACAACCGUAGGAUGUGUGGACAGGAUGACUGUGGGCCCCAGGCCCCUUCUCCAUACAGAAAGAGGGCACACAGAGCCAGCUAUGGCGAGUC
rnacentral:lncRNA from 1 species